GUGCUGAGCCCUGGGCAAGUGUCUCCAGACAUCCCUACCUUUUCUCCCUUUUAUUAGUUUUCUUUCCCAACAGAACCCAUUUACUUUGCCACUAAAACUAGGUUGCAUCCAAAAGUUUCUAAACAAGCUUAAAAAAGAAAAAUUGACACCAUUAUACAGAAGAAUUCACAAAAGCUGCAGAGCGCCAGGGCAGAGAAGCAGCGACAGACACAGGCCCAGGACACACAGGACGGAUGUUUCCAAGUCACUCGAGGGACACAUGCCUGUGUCUCAGAAGUUGCUUCCCUGCCUCUACUCUGUGAAUUUCCCAAACUCUCUAACUCUGAUUCAUCUUCAUUCACUCUUCCCUGUAGUUUGUGUGUAAAGAGCCCUUAAAGCAAUAUGGUGGAGGGUAAGAGUUGUGAGCCGGUGGCAGGCAAGGCCUAAACUUGGUACAGCAAAGGAAAUUUCGUGGUACUUGCUCCUGAGUCUGGGAAUCACAGGCUAGCCAGCCUCUCCCCUAUUACUAGGAAACAGUAGAACUUAGGGAAAUGGAUGAUUCCAUGUUUAAGAGGCCUGAAAUUGUAUACUUGGCAUUUCUGAUUUCAGUUCUAAAAUUCUGUCCCUUCGUCAUAGAGAAAAUGAGAAAUGUAGUUACAACUUUUCAUUACAAAAACGUUGCAUUAAGAGAAAUGGAGAAUCAUGCCCACAUAAAACAUGUAUAGAAGUGUUCAUGAUUUGAUCAGGGCUGGGGAUAUAGCUCAGACAUCCGGCGCUUGCACAGCAAUGUGCAUAACCCAAGGUUCAAGCCCCAGCACUGACAAAGAGAAGCAGAAGGAGCGGAGGUAUUCACAGCAGCCUUUUCAAUAUAGGCAUGAAAGGGAGAGUUUACAUGCCGGUUGAGGAAUGGAGAGUGUAAAAUGGCUUGUCUAUAAAACUGGAUUCUGGUCAUCAGUAGAGAGGUCUGAAGUGAUAGAUAUGGUGGAUGAGUCUUUAAACAUCUUCCUGAGUAAUGAAGCCAACCAGAAGAAAGGCAGAUACUCCGUAUCUCUGGAGUAUAUAGGUAAACCAUUAUAGAGAAAAAGCACCAUACUGGUUACCUGGACUUGGAGUGAUGAACAGACUUUGGGAGACAGCAGAGUGGAACAGAAUUUACUUGAGUGGUGAUAAAAAAAAAAGUUCUUGAAUUAACGGAAGUGAUGCUUGCUCCACUUGAUUGCUGCAUUUAAAAACCACUGAAUUUUACCUUUGGAUGGGUGAAUUCAUUGUAUUUCAAUAAAGCCAUGAAUAUA
rnacentral:lncRNA from 1 species